rnacentral:rRNA from 1 species
CCUACGGGUGGCAGCAGUCGAGAAUCAUUCACAAUGGGGGAAACCCUGAUGGGGCGACGCCGCGUGGGGGAAGGAAGGUCUGCGGAUUGUAAACCCCUGUCAUGGGGGAGCAAAUUAAAAAGAUAGUACAACAAGAGGAAGAGACGGCUCACGCGGGGCCAGCAGCCGCGGUAAGACAGAGGGCACACGCGUUGGUCGGAAUCACUGGGCGUAAAGGGUGCGUAGGCGGUGUCGGAAGGCGGGUGUGAAAGGCGCGGGCUCAACCCGCGGACGGCACCUGAUACUGCGAGACUAGAGUACUGGAGUGGCAACCGGAAUUCUCGGUGUAGCCGUGACAUGCUUAGCUAUCGC